GAGCUUCUGGCACAAGCAGUCACUCAGAGGAUAGAGUCAUAGUGUUUGCUCUCUCGCUCUGGCUAGUUUGAUUUGAGCCAUGCUUUCCGGAAGUCUAAUCCUGGUGGUUGCACUGACCUGGUACCGAACGGUGGCCAAACUAUCUGGAGAAACAGAAAUUGAUGUGGAUGAGGGCCAGGACUGGGAUAUCUUUGAUGUCAAUAAGGGACUUGACUUGCUGGAGGGUGAUAUUGAAAGUGUCGAG